UUAACAAUUAAAUUAGAUAUGAGUAGAAAUAAUAGGAAAUAUAAUUAAAUAUAAUGGUCCAACCUAGACUAUUUAUAAGUAGAUAAAAAUUGCUUCUGUUUUAAUAGUAUUGAUUACUAUAAGAAUUAUAUUUUUAUGUAUUUGGUGAGGGUUUUGAAUUUUUUUUUUUUUUUUUUGCAUUUGGAUUAAUAUAUAGUUGUAUAUAUACGAAUGAAUAUAUAUAUAUAUAUAUAUAAUUAUUUAUUACAUUAAUAACUAAUAUAUAAUUGAUUAGUUAUUUGAAUUUUGAAUUAAUAUAAAUUAAAUUCAUUAGUUUAAGAAACAAUAGAUUAGUUAGUUAGUUCCUUAAUUUUAGGUAUGAUGUAUAUUUAACAAUUAAAUUAGAUAUGAGUAGAAAUAAUAAGAAAUAUAAUUAAAUAUAAUGGUCCAACCUAGACCAUUUAUAAGUAGAUAAAAAUUGCCUCUGUUUUAAUAGUAUUGAUUAAUUUAUUUUCUUAAACCUGAAAUGAGUUUUUGCAAACAGAGUUUGUU
rnacentral:lncRNA from 1 species